rnacentral:misc_RNA from 1 species
GGAUUGUCCCUGCCGGCUGGCUCCGUGCCCGUCCACCGAACUAUUAGUAGGCGAUCCGCGUUGGUCGUGCGAGGUGCUAUGGUUUCCAGAGGCCGGUUCUUGUGCUGCCUACCCCUUUAGGGGAAGCAGGCUACUUGAUGUAAGCCUCCAUUCGGCGCCUUCCAACAGGCGAAGGAGGACAACGGAGCACUCCCCACGUUCCACCGAGCCUUCGUCGAUCGGAUGGUGCGUGGGGACGUGAGAUGCUCUCAGACCCAGCGAACGCCGUGGGCGAGGACUCACAUCCCUGUCCCAAAAGAAGGUUUAAUAUAAUGCUGACGGCCGCUCCCGCCCCCCAACCGGCUCUGGGCAAGGUGCGGCGUUGCAGAGGAAUGCUACCU